UUCGUCACACUAUCAUUAACUGAAUCCAUAGGUUAAUGAGGCGAACCGGGGGAACUGAAACAUCUAAGUACCCCGAGGAAAAGAAAUCAACCGAGAUUCCCCCAGUAGCGGCGAGCGAACGGGGAGGAGCCCAGAGCCUGAAUCAGUGUGUGUGUUAGUGGAAGCGUCUGGAAAGGCGCGCGAUACAGGGUGACAGCCCCGUACACAAAAAUGCACAUGCUGUGAGCUCGAUGAGUAGGGCGGGACACGUGGUAUCCUGUCUGAAUAUGGGGGGACCAUCCUCCAAGGCUAAAUACUCCUGACUGACCGAUAGUGAACCAGUACCGUGAGGGAAAGGCGAAAAGAACCCCGGCGAGGGGAGUGAAAAAGAACCUGAAACCGUGUACGUACAAGCAGUGGGAGCACGCUUAGGCGUGUGACUGCGUACCUUUUGUAUAAUGGGUCAGCGACUUAUAUUCUGUAGCAAGGUUAACCGAAUAGGGGAGCCGAAGGGAAACCGAGUCUUAACUGGGCGUUAAGUUGCAGGGUAUAGACCCGAAACCCGGUGAUCUAGCCAUGGGCAGGUUGAAGGUUGGGUAACACUAACUGGAGGACCGAACCGACUAAUGUUGAAAAAUUAGCGGAUGACUUGUGGCUGGGGGUGAAAGGCCAAUCAAACCGGGAGAUAGCUGGUUCUCCCCGAAAGCUAUUUAGGUAGCGCCUCGUGAAUUCAUCUCCGGGGGUAGAGCACUGUUUCGGCAAGGGGGUCAUCCCGACUUACCAACCCGAUGCAAACUGCGAAUACCGGAGAAUGUUAUCACGGGAGACACACGGCGGGUGCUAACGUCCGUCGUGAAGAGGGAAACAACCCAGACCGCCAGCUAAGGUCCCAAAGUCAUGGUUAAGUGGGAAACGAUGUGGGAAGGCCCAGACAGCCAGGAUGUUGGCUUAGAAGCAGCCAUCAUUUAAAGAAAGCGUAAUAGCUCACUGGUCGAGUCGGCCUGCGCGGAAGAUGUAACGGGGCUAAACCAUGCACCGAAGCUGCGGCAGCGACGCUGAUGCGUUGUUGGGUAGGGGAGCGUUCUGUAAGCCUGCGAAGGUGUGCUGUGAGGCAUGCUGGAGGUAUCAGAAGUGCGAAUGCUGACAUAAGUAACGAUAAAGCGGGUGAAAAGCCCGCUCGCCGGAAGACCAAGGGUUCCUGUCCAACGUUAAUCGGGGCAGGGUGAGUCGACCCCUAAGGCGAGGCCGAAAGGCGUAGUCGAUGGGAAACAGGUUAAUAUUCCUGUACUUGGUGUUACUGCGAAGGGGGGACGGAGAAGGCUAUGUUGGCCGGGCGACGGUUGUCCCGGUUUAAGCGUGUAGGCUGGUUUUCCAGGCAAAUCCGGAAAAUCAAGGCUGAGGCGUGAUGACGAGGCACUACGGUGCUGAAGCAACAAAUGCCCUGCUUCCAGGAAAAGCCUCUAAGCAUCAGGUAACAUCAAAUCGUACCCCAAACCGACACAGGUGGUCAGGUAGAGAAUACCAAGGCGCUUGAGAGAACUCGGGUGAAGGAACUAGGCAAAAUGGUGCCGUAACUUCGGGAGAAGGCACGCUGAUAUGUAGGUGAAGCGACUUGCUCGUGGAGCUGAAAUCAGUCGAAGAUACCAGCUGGCUGCAACUGUUUAUUAAAAACACAGCACUGUGCAAACACGAAAGUGGACGUAUACGGUGUGACGCCUGCCCGGUGCCGGAAGGUUAAUUGAUGGGGUUAGCGCAAGCGAAGCUCUUGAUCGAAGCCCCGGUAAACGGCGGCCGUAACUAUAACGGUCCUAAGGUAGCGAAAUUCCUUGUCGGGUAAGUUCCGACCUGCACGAAUGGCGUAAUGAUGGCCAGGCUGUCUCCACCCGAGACUCAGUGAAAUUGAACUCGCUGUGAAGAUGCAGUGUACCCGCGGCAAGACGGAAAGACCCCGUGAACCUUUACUAUAGCUUGACACUGAACAUUGAGCCUUGAUGUGUAGGAUAGGUGGGAGGCUUUGAAGUGUGGACGCCAGUCUGCAUGGAGCCGACCUUGAAAUACCACCCUUUAAUGUUUGAUGUUCUAACGUGGACCCGUAAUCCGGGUUGCGGACAGUGUCUGGUGGGUAGUUUGACUGGGGCGGUCUCCUCCUAAAGAGUAACGGAGGAGCACGAAGGUUGGCUAAUCCUGGUCGGACAUCAGGAGGUUAGUGCAAUGGCAUAAGCCAGCUUGACUGCGAGCGUGACGGCGCGAGCAGGUGCGAAAGCAGGUCAUAGUGAUCCGGUGGUUCUGAAUGGAAGGGCCAUCGCUCAACGGAUAAAAGGUACUCCGGGGAUAACAGGCUGAUACCGCCCAAGAGUUCAUAUCGACGGCGGUGUUUGGCACCUCGAUGUCGGCUCAUCACAUCCUGGGGCUGAAGUAGGUCCCAAGGGUAUGGCUGUUCGCCAUUUAAAGUGGUACGCGAGCUGGGUUUAGAACGUCGUGAGACAGUUCGGUCCCUAUCUGCCGUGGGCGCUGGAGAACUGAGGGGGGCUGCUCCUAGUACGAGAGGACCGGAGUGGACGCAUCACUGGUGUUCGGGUUGUCAUGCCAAUGGCACUGCCCGGUAGCUAAAUGCGGAAGAGAUAAGUGCUGAAAGCAUCUAAGCACGAAACUUGCCCCGAGAUGAGUUCUCCCUGACUCCUUGAGAGUCCUGAAGGAACGUUGAAGACGACGACGUUGAUAGGCCGGGUGUGUAAGCGCAGCGAUGCGUUGAGCUAACCGGUACUAAUGAACCGUGAG
rnacentral:rRNA from 1 species